rnacentral:pre_miRNA from 1 species
AGGAGAAACAACCACAGUGGAGGUUGCCAGCCCUGGAGCCCUGGAGUCAGCUCCUGCAGUAACUAUGGAGCUCUCAGUCUGCAUGGGCCUGGUUGCUCCCGGGGCGAG